ensembl:lncRNA
CAGAAAUGAGGAGGGAGAAACAGCAGAUGGCCAUGACAAAAACAACAUAGAUACCUGCUAUCACACUCACAGACUUUCAGCUUCAUUUAUCAGAUUUUAAACUCAGGGAUUCUGUGAUUCUUGAAAAAUACCACCAUCUUUUGGACAUUUAUCGCACUUUAAAUGAAGAAGCAAUGUCUGCUGUAACGUCUGCAUCUCUCUGCCUGACUUUACUGUCUGUCUGCCUCUUGUUUGUCUCUGCAGACCAGAAAAUCAUCAUAGCUGUGCCGGGACAGACGGUCACUCUGCCAUGUCGAGCUCCAAACAGCGGCAACCCCAUCAUAGCUGCAGAGUGGAGCAGAGCUGACCUGGAGCAAGAAUAUGUCCUUUUUUACCGGGACGAUAAGCUUGAUACAGAAGAGCAGCAUCCGUCUUUUAAGAACCGGGUGGAUCUGCAGGACAGACAGAUGAAGGAUGGAGACAUGUCUCUGAUUCUGAAGGAUGUGACGACUGAUGACUCGGGAGCAUACGAGUGUUACGUGGUCCAGAGAGGAGCGAACCGCAGGAAGAGAGCCAGUCUGGAUAGUGACCCCAUCAGCACCACCUACCUGACUGUUGUUCCUCCAAGCCAGAAAAACAUCACAGCUGAGUCUGGACAGAACGUCACUCUGACAUGUCGAGCGCCAAACACUGUCCUCAUACCAGGUGUAGAGUGGAGCAGACGUGACUUGAAGGCACAAUAUGUGCUUUGGUACUGGGAAAAACAAUUUGUUCCAUAUUACCAGCAUCCAUCUUUUAAGAACCGGGUGGAUCUGCAGGACAGACAGAUGAAGGAUGGAGACGUGUCUUUGAUUCUGAAGGAUGUGACGGUUAAUGACACUGGAACAUACGAGUGUCGUGUCCUUGUGAGGGGAGGGAACCGCAGGAAGAGAGCUAAUCUGGGUGGUGAACCCAUCAGCAUCAUCUACCUUCAUGUUGUUGAUCCUCCAG